CCUUUGUACUGCGGAGACAUUAC
rnacentral:rRNA from 1 species